AGCAGCCGCGGUAAUUCCAGCUCCAAUAGCGUAUAUUAAAGUUGCUGCAGUUAAAAAGCUCGUAGUUGAAUUUCGGGACUGAUAUGUCGGUCGUGCCUCGGUACGUACUGGUAUUUUUGGUUUCUCCCUUCUGACGAACCUUGAUGUCAUUAAUUUGGUGUCUUGGGAAAUCAGGACUGUUACUUUGAAAAAUUAGAGUGUUUAAAGCAGGCUCACGCUUGAAUACAUUAGCAUGGAAUAAUGAAAUAGGACGUUUGAUUCUAUUUUGUUGGUUUCUAGGAUUGACGUAAUGAUUAAUAGGGAUAGUUGGGGGCAUUAGUAUUCAAUUGUCAGAGGUGAAAUUCUUGGAUUUAUUGAAGACUAGCUACUGCGAAAGCAUUUGCCAAGGAUGUUUUCAUUAAUCAAGAACGAAAGUUAGGGGAUCGAAGACGAUCAGAUACCGUCGUAGUCUUAACCAUAAACUAUAGCCGACUA
rnacentral:rRNA from 1 species